UGGGGAAUAUUGCACAAUGGGCGCAAGCCUGAUGCAGCCAUGCCGCGUGUGUGAAGAAGGCCUUCGGGUUGUAAAGCACUUUCAGCGAAGAGGAAGGUGGUGAGCUUAAUACGCUCAUCAAUUGACGUUACUCGCAGAAGAAGCACCGGCUAACUCCGUGCCAGCAGCCGCGGUAAUACGGAGGGUGCAAGCGUUAAUCGGAAUUACUGGGCGUAAAGCGCACGCAGGCGGUUUUGUUAAGUCAGAUGUGAAAUCCCCGGGCUCAACCUGGGAACUGCAUUUGAAACUGGCAAGCUAGAGUCUCGUAGAGGGGGGUAGAAUUCCAGGUGUAGCGGUGAAAUGCGUAGAGAUCUGGAGGAAUACCGGUGGCGAAGGCGGCCCCCUGGACGAAGACUGACGCUCAGGUGCGAAAGCGUGGGGCAGCAAACAGGAUUAGAUACCCUGGUAGUCCACGCUGUAAACGAUGUCGAUUUUGGA
rnacentral:rRNA from 1 species